rnacentral:lncRNA from 1 species
GAAUUCUUUUCUAUCUUUAAAAAUAAUUAAAUAUGCACAAUUUUAUUAAACCAAACAUAAAUACAACACAUAUUUCAUUUCAGCAAGAUAACAUCAAUUAUAUAUAAAGUAUAACCUCAAUAAAUUAAUAGCUUUGGAAUCAUAAAAAAUCUAUUAAUUUAGCCAAUGUUAACAUAUCGAUAGAUUAAUAAUUUAUUGUUUUAUAAUAUAGUUAGCAAAACCCCAGGUUCAGGUAGGGUUUGGACUUGUCGCGAACUAACCCGGAUUCGUAAAACAGCUGCUUGGAACCAAGUUCAUGCUCGAAUUUAUCACAUACAAGCCAGGUCAAGGCCAGCACCUCUCGGACACAGGUUUUUAAUCCAGGCUUCCCUUGCCCGAAUAUGAACUGAAUUAAAAAAAAAAAAAAAAAAAACUGUAACGGUACAAAUUUUACAUAAAUAAAAAUUGUUUCAAUCCACUUUAUACUACCUAAAGUCAUUCAAUGUCUAACCUAAAUUCAUUCAAUCUCUAUCAAAAAUUUAAAUUUAGCUUGGUGGAGCGAUGGCGGUUGAGAAGGUGACGAGGGAGACUAUGGCUAUGAUGGCGGCGGAGUCAAUUGCAGCGGUGGGUGGUGGCUGCUGGCAUGGAGUGUUGGCGAAUUGGAGCUGUGAAGAGAUGAUGUCGACGCAUGGAGGGAGGUUCGUGGAGGCACAAUGCAGUGGUGGCCGGUGGGUGGUGGGCUGGUGGUUGGUGGCUUGGAGUGUUGGAGGUGCGGCAGCGGUAGUACGACUUGUGGCCUUGUGCUUGUUAGAGUACUGAGGGUUUACAAUUUAGGGUUCAUUUUGGGCAAUGUUUGUUUGUAUUUAUAUUUUUCUUUUUUUAAUUUACUUAUUAAAAAAGGGACAUGGAUCCUAGUUCCGGGUUUUUGGUGCCAUGCUCAGGCCUGUGCUUGGAAAUAUCUGGAACUGUUUUCUUAGCACAUGUAGGACAAGUUUUACUUGGAUCGCAUUGGCUAGGUCCGGUCUGGAUCUAGUCCAAGUGGGUAUUAUUACUACCUCUAAUUUAUAAUGAUAAUAUCACAUUUGUAAUAUGAAUUUUCAUGAAGUAUAGAUAGAAAUAAUAUAAUUAGAGAG